UACAGAGACUGCAAGCGUUGUUCGGAAUCACUGGGCGUAAAGGGCGCGUAGGCGGUUCGUACAGUCAGACGUGAAAUUCCUGGGCUCAACCUGGGGGCUGCGUUUGAUACGUGCGGACUUGAGUGCGGAAGAGGGUCGUGGAAUUCCCAGUGUAGAGGUGAAAUUCGUAGAUAUUGGGAAGAACACCGGUGGCGAAGGCGGCGACCUGGUCCGAUACUGGACGCUGAGGCGCGAAAGCGUGGGGAGCAAAACAGG
rnacentral:rRNA from 1 species